rnacentral:rRNA from 1 species
CGGGUGAGUAACGCGUGGAUAACCUGCCUCACACUGGGGGAUAACAGUUAGAAAUGACUGCUAAUACCGCAUGAGCGCACAGUACCGCAUGGUACGGUGUGAAAAACUCCGGUGGUGUGAGAUGGAUCCGCGUCUGAUUAGCCAGUUGGCGGGUAACGGCCCACCAAAGCGACGAUCAGUAGCCGACCUGAGAGGGUGACCGGCCACAUUGGGACUGAGACACGGCCCGA